UACAGGGGGGGCAAGCGUUGUUCGGAAUUACUGGGCGUAAAGGGCUCGUAGGUGGCCAACUAAGUCAGACGUGAAAUCCCUCAGCUUAACUGGGGAACUGCGUCUGAUACUGGAUGGCUUGAGUUUGGGAGAGGGAUGCGGAAUUCCAGGUGUAGCGGUGAAAUGCGUAGAUAUCAGGAGGAACACCAGUGGCGAAGGCGGCUUCCUGGACACUAACUGACGCUGAGACGCGAAAGCGUGGGGAGCAAACAGG
rnacentral:rRNA from 1 species